AGGAUGAACGCUGGCGGCGUGCCUAACACAUGCAAGUCGAACGUCCUGUCUCGCAAGAGGCAGGGAGUGGCGGACGGGUGAGUACCACGUGGGUCAUCUACCGUGAGGUGAGGAAUACCGGCGAGAAAUCGCCGACAAGACCGCAUAGGCUCGAUGCAAGUCGAGCAAAGCUCUUUCGAGGGAGGGAGCGCCACACGAGGAGCCUGCGCCCGAUUAGCUAGCUGGUGGAGUAAUGGUUCACCAGGGCGACGAUCGGUAGCUGGUCUGAGAGGACGAUCAGCCACACUGGGAUUGAGAACGGCCCAGACUCCUACGGGGGGCAGCAGUGAGGAAUUUUCGUCAAUGGGGGCAACCCUGAACGAGCAACGCCGCGUGCAGGAAGAAGGUUUUCGGAUCGUAAACUGCUUUUCUCGGGAAGAGAACGGACGGUACCCGAGGAAUCAGCCCCGGCUAACUACGUGCCAGCAGCCGC
rnacentral:rRNA from 1 species